rnacentral:rRNA from 1 species
UACGGAGGGUGCGAGCGUUGUCCGGAAUCACUGGGCGUAAAGGGCGCGUAGGCGGCUCAUGAAGGCUGUGGUGAAAGUCCGGGCUCAACCUCGGAUCGGCCGUGGCGACUCGUGGGCUGGAGCACUGUAGAGGCGGGUGGAAUUCCGGGUGUAGCGGUGGAAUGCGUAGGAGCGAAGAUCCGGAACGAACAGCCAGUAGGCGGAAGGCCGGCCCGUGCUGGG